UAAUACGAAGGGUGCAAGCGUUACUCGGAAUUACUGGGCGUAAAGCGUGCGUAGGUGGUGGUUUAAGUCUGCUGUGAAAGCCCUGGGCUCAACCUGGGAAUUGCAGUGGAUACUGGAUCACUAGAGUGUGGUAGAGGGAUGCGGAAUUUCUGGUGUAGCAGUGAAAUGCGUAGAGAUCAGAAGGAACAUCCGUGGCGAAGGCGGCAUCCUGGGCCAACACUGACACUGAGGCACGAAAGCGUGGGAGCAAACAGGAUUAGAUACCCUGGUAGUCCACGCCCUAAACGAUGCGAACUGGAUGUUGGGUGCAACUUGGCACCCAGUAUCGAAGCUAACGCGUUAAGUUCGCCGCCUGGGGAGUACGGUCGCAAGACUGAAACUCAAAGGAAUUGACGGGGGCCCGCACAAGCGGUGGAGUAUGUGGUUUAAUUCGAUGCAACGCGAAGAACCUUACCUGGUCUUGACAUCCACGGAACUUUCCAGAGAUGGAUUGGUGCC
rnacentral:rRNA from 1 species